GGUAUCCCUGACCGUGCUAAGGUAGCAUAAUCCCUUGCCUUUUAAUCGGAGGCCAGUAUGAGUGGACAAACGAAAAUAACUCUGUCUCUGUAUAUAUUAUAAAAUUUUAUCUYUAGRUGAAAAAGCCUAAAUCAAACUAAAAGACAAAAAGACCCUGUAGAGCCUUACUUAAAAUAACACUACAGACCCCAAAGUUUCGCCCUGUUUUUAAAGUCUAGAUGGGRCAUCGAAGGGCCACCAAAAUCGCCCUUUCUCCAAAAAAAUUCCYACAUUCYGAUCCGCCAGAGCGAUAAUAGAACCCGGUUACCUCAGGGAUAACAGACUAAUCUUCCUUAARAGCUCGAAUUAACAGGAAGGCUUGGCACCUCGAUGUUGGCUUAGGAGCCCUGGGGGUGCAGCUGCCCCCGAUGGCGGGUUUGUUCAACCCUUAAACCCCUACGUGAUCUGAGUUCAGACCGGA
rnacentral:rRNA from 1 species